rnacentral:rRNA from 1 species
AAUAUUGGACAAUGGGGGCAACCCUGAUCCAGCCAUGCCGCGUGUGUGAAGAAGGUCUUCGGAUUGUAAAGCACUUUAAGUUGGGAGGAAGGGCUUUAGGCUAAUACCCUGAAGUUUUGACGUUACCAACAGAAUAAGCACCGGCUAACUCUGUGCCAGCAGCCGCGGUAAUACAGAGGGUGCAAGCGUUAAUCGGAAUUACUGGGCGUAAAGCGGGCGUUAGUUGUUCAGUAAGAUUGGUUUGAAAUCCCCGGGCUUAAACUUGGAACUGCCUUCAUAACUGCCGGACCAGAGUAAGGUAGAGGGUAGUGGAAUUUCCUGUGUAGCGGUGGAAUGCGUAGAUAUAGGAAGGAACACCAGUGGCGAAGGCGACUUCCUGGACUGAUACUGACACUGAGGUGCGAAAGCGUGGGGAGCAAACA